rnacentral:rRNA from 1 species
GCACAGAGUUAGCCGGGGCUUCCUUUGCUGGUACAGUCAACGUCCGCGGGUAUUAACCGCGAACGACUUCUUCCCAGCCGACAGGAGUUUACAACCCAAGGGCCUUCAUCCUCCACGCGGCGUUGCUGCGUCAGGCUUUCGCCCAUUGCGCAAGAUUCCCCACUGCUGCCUCCCGUAGGAGUCCGGACCGUGUCUCAGUUCCGGUGUGACCGAUCGCCCUCUCAGGCCGGUUACCGAUCGUCGCCUUGGUGAGCCGUUACCUCGCCAACUAGCUAAUCGGGCGCGGGCCCAUCCGGUAGCGCGAGAUCUUGCGACCCCGCUUUGAUCGUCAGGACUUUCGUCCCGAAGAUGUCAUGCGGUAUUAGCUCGAGUUUCCCCGAGGUAUUCCCCACUUCCGGGUAGGUUACCCACGUGUUACUCACCCGUCCGCCGCUCGACUCAGGGAGUUGCCCCCCUGGCCUCGCUCGACUUGCAUGUGUUAAGCACGCCGCCAGCGUUCAUU